CGCCGUUUGCCUUCUCCAUUUCUGGCCGCCCUCGCAGUUCUAAACUGAGAGAGAGAGAGAGGGGAGAGAGAGAGAGAGAUCUCGAUGGAUUGGAGGAGCAUGGAAAUCGGUAGGCCGGUGGUACUACUGAUAUGCGGAACGCUGGUGUAUUACCACUGCGCGUAUAGGAAAUCGAGCUUGCUCUCACUUGUAUCGGACGUCUUCAUUGUUCUUCUCUGCUCCCUCGCCAUUCUUGGAAUGCUUUUCCGUCAGAUGAAUAUCUCGGUGCCUGUGGAUCCUCUUGAGUGGCAGAUUUCUCAGGACACUGCCAAUGGCAUUGUUGCGUGCAUGGCUAAUACCAUAGGAGCGGCUGAAUCCGUGCUAAGGGUGGCAGCCGCUGGUCAUGACAAGAGGUUGUUUCUUAAGGUGGCUGUUAUUCUUUAUCUGCUAUCAGCUUUGGGAAGAGUGGCCUCUGGUGCUACUGUGGCAUAUGUUGGGUUAUGCUUGUUGUGUUCGUAUUUUUUUGUUCAAAGCUCCGGACCAAAUGAUUCAUGCUCUUCUCAGUUUCUGAAAAGGCGCGAUUCUACAGGAGGAAUGCAAGAUAGCAUGCAAUCUUAAAGGAAUCAGAUGAUCCUCUCCCCGAGGAUUUCCACACUAUACUUGUGUUGUCAGUUUGUGCAGAAAACAAAUGCUGCGUGGUGAUUAUUAAAGCUGCCGAAUUGAAUAACGAACCGAUGACUCGGUUUCUGCAGUCAAAUUUCUGGCUGUACAUUGGUGAUGGAUCUGCUCAACGCAUCCAAAAUUCGAGAAUUUCUGUUGGUGAGGGUGACGGGCUCACAUUUUUCCUUGGAUCCCCCGAGUGAUAUUAUACUGAUGUAUAGGGUUUGUCUGGUAGUUGGACACAGAAGAUUUUUAGUAGGAACAUUUGCCACAAAUUGUAAUCAUUACAUUUUUCCCAGAUCCUUACACCCUUUGGGAAUUAUUGGAACUUUGGAAAAAUAAAUCAAUUUCCAU